rnacentral:rRNA from 1 species
GACGAACGCUGGCGGCGUGCUUAACACAUGCAAGUCGAACGGAAAGGCCCUGCUUUUGUGGGGUGCUCGAGUGGCGAACGGGUGAGUAACACGUGAGUAACCUGCCCUUGACUUUGGGAUAACUUCAGGAAACUGGGGCUAAUACCGGAUAGGAGCUCCUGCUGCAGGGUGGGGGUUGGAAAGUUUCGGCGGUUGGGGAUGGACUCGGGGCUUAUCAGUUUGUUGGGGGGGUAGGGGCUUACCAAGGCUUUGACGGGUAGCCGGCCGGAGAGGGUAACCGGUCCAUAUGGGUAUGGGAAGCGGCCCAGGGCACUAAGGGAGGAAGGGGGGGGGAAUUAUGCAAAAAUGGCGGGAGCCUGAUGCAGGCACGCCGGGUGGGGGAAGCCGGCAUUCGGGGUGAAAACCCGUUUCGCCUUUCACGGAGGGUGGGGGGCGGUAAAGGGAAAAAGAGCCCCCGCUCACCACG